GUGGGGAAUAUUGGACAAUGGGCGAAAGCCUGAUCCAGCCAUGCCGCGUGAGUGAUGAAGGCCUUAGGGUUGUAAAGCUCUUUUGUCCGGGAAGAUAAUGACUGUACCGGAAGAAUAAGCCCCGGCUAACUUCGUGCCAGCAGCCGCGGUAAUACGAAGGGGGCUAGCGUUGCUCGGAAUCACUGGGAGUAAAGGGCGCGUAGGCGGACUUUUAAGUCGGAGGUGAAAGCCCAGGGCUCAACCCUGGAAUUGCCUUCGAUACUGGGAGUCUUGAGUUCGGAAGAGGUUGGUGGAACUGCGAGUGUAGAGGUGAAAUUCGUAGAUAUUCGCAAGAACACCGGUGGCGAAGGCGGCCAACUGGUCCGAAACUGACGCUGAGGCGCGAAAGCGUGGGGAGCAAACAGGAUUAGAUACCCUUGUAGUCC
rnacentral:rRNA from 1 species